UUGUUGGUGAGGUAAAGGCUUACCAAGGCUUCGAUCAGUAGCUGGUCUGAGAGGACGACCAGCCACACUGGGACUGAGACACGGCCCAGACUCCUACGGGAGGCAGCAGUGGGGAAUUUUGGACAAUGGGGGAAACCCUGAUCCAGCCAUGCCGCGUGAGUGAAGAAGGCCUUCGGGUUGUAAAGCUCUUUCAGCCGGAACGAAACGGUUACGAUUAAUACCUGUAACUACUGACGGUACCGGAAGAAGAAGCACCGGCUAACUACGUGCCAGCAGCCGCGGUAAUACGUAGGGUGCGAGCGUUAAUCGGAAUUACUGGGCGUAAAGCGUGCGCAGGUGGUUUUGUAAGUCAGAUGUGAAAUCCCCGGGCUUAACCUGGGAACUGCGUUUGAAACUACAAGGCUAGAGUGUGGCAGAGGGGGGUGGAAUUCCGCGUGUAGCAGUGAAAUGCGUAGAGAUGUGGAGGAACACCGAUGGCGAAGGCAGCCCCCUGGGUCAACACUGACGCUCAGGCACGAAAGCAUGGGGAGCAAACAGGAUUAGAUACCCUGGUAGUCCAUGCCCUAAACGAUGUCAACUAGUUGUCGGGUCUUAACGGGCUUGGUAACGUAGCUAACGCGUGAAGUUGACCGCCUGGGGAGUACGAUCGCAAGAUUAAAACUCAAAGGAAUUGACGGGGACCCGCACAAGCGGUGGAUUAUGUGGAUUAAUUCGAUGCAACGCGAAAAACCUUACCUACCCUUGACAUGUAUUGGAGCCCGCAGAGAUGUGGGUGUGCCCGAAAGGGAACGAUAACACAGGUGCUGCAUGGCUGUCGUCAGCUCGUGCCGUGAGAUGUUGGGUUAAGUCCCGCAACGAGCGCAACCCUUGUCAUUAAUUGCCAUCAUUUAGUUGGGCACUUUAAUGAGACCGCCGG
rnacentral:rRNA from 1 species